rnacentral:rRNA from 1 species
GGGUCUACCCAUUGGUCAGGCUUAAUUGUCUGCACUGGUGAGAUGGAUCUCUUCCUUCUGACGAACCAUGAUGUCAUUAAUUUGGUGUCUUGGGGAAUCAGGACUGUUACUUUGAAAAAAUUAGAGUGUUUAAAGCAGGCUCACGCUUGAAUACAUUAGCAUGGAAUAAUGAAAUAGGACGUUUGAUUCUAUUUUGUUGGUUUCUAGGAUUGACGUA